rnacentral:rRNA from 1 species
UUAGAGUUUGAUCCUGGCUCAGGAUGAACGCUAGCGGCAGGCUUAACACAUGCAAGUCGAGGGGCAGCGAGAUCAGUGCUUGCACUGAUUGUCGGCGACCGGCGCACGGGUGCGUAACGCGUAUGCAACCUACCCAUUACAGGGGGAUAACACUGAGAAAUCGGUACUAAUACCCCAUAACAUCCAGGGAGGCAUCUUCUUGGGUUGAAAACUCCGGUGGUAAUGGAUGGGCAUGCGUUGUAUUAGUUAGUUGGUGGGGUAACGGCUCACCAAGACAACGAUACAUAGGGGGACUGAGAGGUUAACCCCCCACAUUGGUACUGAGACACGGACCAAACUCCUACGGGAGGCAGCAGUGAGGAAUAUUGGUCAAUGGACGCAAGUCUGAACCAGCCAUGCCGCGUGCAGGAAGACGGCUCUAUGAGUUGUAAACUGCUUUUGUACGAGGGUAAACGCAGAUACGCGUAUCUGUCUGAAAGUAUCGUACGAAUAAGGAUCGGCUAACUCCGUGCCAGCAGCCGCGGUAAUACGGAGGAUUCAAGCGUUAUCCGGAUUUAUUGGGUUUAAAGGGUGCGUAGGCGGUCGGAUAAGUUAGAGGUGAAAUCCCGGGGCUCAACUUCGGAAUUGCCUCUGAUACUGUUCGGCUAGAGAGUAGUUGCGGUAGGCGGAAUGUAUGGUGUAGCGGUGAAAUGCUUAGAGAUCAUACAGAACACCGAUUGCGAAGGCAGCUUACCAAGCUACUUCUGACGUUGAGGCACGAAAGCGUGGGGAGCAAACAGGAUUAGAUACCCUGGUAGUCCACGCAGUAAACGAUGAUAACUCGUUGUCGGCGAUACAGUGUCGGUGACUAAGCGAAAGCGAUAAGUUAUCCACCUGGGGAGUACGUUCGCAAGAAUGAAACUCAAAGGAAUUGACGGGGGCCCGCACAAGCGGAGGAACAUGUGGUUUAAUUCGAUGAUACGCGAGGAACCUUACCCGGGCUUGAAAGUUAGUGACGGAUCUUGAAAGAGGUCUUCCCUUCGGGGCACGAAACUAGGUGCUGCAUGGUUGUCGUCAGCUCGUGCCGUGAGGUGUCGGGUUAAGUCCCAUAACGAGCGCAACCCCUACCGUUAGUUGCCAGCAGGUCAAGCUGGGCACUCUGACGGGACUGCCGGUGUAAGCCGAGAGGAAGGUGGGGAUGACGUCAAAUCAGCACGGCCCUUACGUCCGGGGCUACACACGUGUUACAAUGGCAGGUACAGAGGGCAGCUACCCAGCGAUGGGAUGCGAAUCUCGAAAGCCUGUCUUAGUUCGGAUUGGAGGCUGAAACCCGCCUCCAUGAAGUUGGAUUCGCUAGUAAUCGCGCAUCAGCCAUGGCGCGGUGAAUACGUUCCCGGGCCUUGCACACACCGCCCGUCAAG